rnacentral:lncRNA from 1 species
GUGGUGUGGACGGGCGGUGAGAGGUCUAUCCUGCUGUGGUGUGCGUACACGGGCGCGUAUCUUGGAGCGCUGAUCAGCAAGGAGGUCGACCCCGCGCUGGAGGGGGAGGCGGCAUCCUCGGCCAGCGACCGAGAGGAGCGGAAGAACUUCAUUGACCCCAGCAAGGUGCUGCCCAGGGGUCAUUAAGAGCAAUGAAUACAGAGUUUGCCGUUGUCCCAGCAUGCCGUCCUGGUUGGCACGUGUAACAUCUGCAUCUGGCAUACUGAUUUCUCGCUGUACCCUGAGCCAAUGUGGGCAUAUCCUUGACUUUAUACUGGUGACAACCACACCUGCGCACUUUAUGCGAGGGACUGGCAUGCAGGUGCAGACUAUCAAGACAAUAUUUAUGGGUUUGUAAUGCACCAUGAUACGGUGUAUAUAUGAAACUUUGGUGUUUAAAUGGAACAUCUGGCAUGAUGCAGGGGUUGAAGGUUGACAGCAGCGGGCGUGCGGUCGCUCGGCCGCACCGGCUGCAGCGGGAGCACUGGGUGGAGGAG